CAGUGUGAGGUCGAUCUGGCUGCAUCUGUCACCCCAUUGUUUCUGCUGAUCUGUCUGGCUAGGCAGGUGUCCCCUUCCUCCCUCACCACUCCAUGUGCAUCCCUCCCAAAGCUGCAUGCUUGGUGGAAGAGGAAGACCACUCCUGAUAGAGGAGGAUUGUUUCCUUGUUUAAGGAUAUCCAAGUAGUGGCGCUCCCCUGCUAGAACCUCCUAGCAAUUAGUGUAUGCAAUUAGUAUAUGCUUGUGAUAUAUAAUAAUUACCUUCCUCCUGGGAAAGUGGUACAGAUGCAUGUUGCAUCCGGCAUUUUU
ensembl:misc_RNA 7SK 7SK RNA